AUUAUUCGGGUCUAUUUAAGCGGGUCCGCGAAAGCGCUUAACUAGAACUCCACCAUGCUCCUGUUCUAUCACCUCCUCUCGCGGCCGCCUUCCGAACACUCGCCGGAACGACGACGCUCGUCGCGAGCCUCCGCUCGAACUCUCAGAUCGACCAAAAAGAUGAGGCAUCUUUUAUGAAUGGUUUUGACAAAAGGGAACUUCUUUGCGGUCGAUUAUAAGGCUUUCGAUCCAUGGCUAACAGGAGACUUCCGCCAGCCUCUUUUCCAUCCAAUAUUUUUUCAACCUCAAGAAUUAGAAAAAGAGUUGCUUGGGAAAUGGAUCCUCUCCAAGAACUCAAUGGUCCCAGGAAUAUGACAUCAAAUGGAAAAACCAUGAUUUGACAGUGGAGCGAUUAUGUUACUUGCAACUUGUUAACCACUCUAGUUGUCGACUGAUUAUUUCCUAUCAAGAACAUUUGGAUGUUAUCUUCAGUUGUAGUGACUAUAUUCUAUGAUAAGUCUCCUAAAGUGUGAAGAGAAACAAGUCCUUGAUUAUAUAAGCUGCCACCAUGCUCCUGUUCAAAAACAUGGUUGGCCACUAUAUCCCACUGUAUCCACCCUAUUAGUUUUUGUGUCUAUGUUGUUGGCAUGCCCAAUGAUAUAUGACUUUUUUUUUAAUAAAUUGUGUGUUCAGAUCUUAUAAACAGCAUGCUCAGGUUCAUGGAACUGACUUCGUCGUGGCAUUGGCUAUGACAAUCUUACAUGUUCUUGGGGAGGCCCAUCCUGUUUUGUUGCGAUUGUAACUGACAAUUGUUUGACUGUUCAUUUCUUGGUUUAGAACCAUGCGUUCUAGCCCUUUACAAUGGUCCUUCAUAGUACAUUUGAUAUUCUAUGUGGUGAAGGUUUGACUAAAAAUUGAGAUAGUAAUGCUGCUCAACUCUCUCUUUUUUUUGCAUUAGUUGCUGAAACUUUCUUGUGCUCUGCCUCUGAUGCAGUAUUUACAUAUUUUUGUUGUUGCCAGAUGAUUAUGCUCUUCUUGAUAAUGGCAUGAGAUCCUCUUUUAUAUACACCUCUUAUUUUUAUUAACUUACAUUUAAUUAUCAUGCCAAAUUGAUUCUGACAUCUACUAAUUAUUUUGAAUCUAUCUAGGACAACAUUGCUUUGCCAUUUUGAUCCUUUAUUGAUUAGCUUUAACAAUGAUUACUUUAUGUGUUUGCAGAAACUUUUCCUCUCACACUAAUGUUGAAUCCUCAACUAUAUAUAUAUAUCAAAAUUGAUGAUAGAUGAUACUUGAGUUGAAGGAAAAAUAAUUUUCGAUUCAUUUGGAUACUUGCAUAUGCUGAUAAACUACUUUGAAACACUUAGUUUUUUCCAUGCUUCCAUGUAAAAUAUUUGGAUGAAGUAGAAUGUAACAGUUGCAUAGAUACUAUUUAUAAUUUUCUCCAUUACCUAAUCUUUGAAUACUUCUUUUGAUGUAUCAUGUUUAACUUAUUCCAUUGUGAGGUAAACUAAAACUGAUCAAUGUGAAUGCAAUGGGAAAAAAUAAAUAAAUAUUUGGCAAUUCUUUAGUAAAAUUAUGAAUUCAAAUUACCAAAACCUACAGAUGUGAUAUAGUUGAGGUGAAACAUUUACUUAAACCUGCACUUUUGUCCAGAUAAUUCUUCUAUUGAAGAAGUAAAGUUUGUGAGAUGACUUAGGAGAUAUACCAUUUACACACAGCACAAUUGCCAUUAGAAAUACCAAAUAUGCAAUUUCUAGAAAAACACUGCUUGUUUACUUGGUUUAGGAGAAACAUUGUAUUUGCAAAUAUUGCCUUGUGAAAGAAGGAUACUUCUUAUUAACGUGUUAGGAAUUAGUUUAUAUGAGAUGGAGUUUAUUUACUUGUCUCUUCAGUGUAACUGUUAUUAUAAUUUUAUAUGAGAUAGUUUAUUUGUUUGUCUCUCUUCACUGUUACCUUUAUUGCAUACCCUCUUCGCCUUCAUGUUCCACUGAGCUCCUUUUCCUAGUGGCACUUUGAAGGACAACCUCGUUGCUUACUUGCCAUUUGAAAAUUAGAUAAAUAUCGACUCCUAAUCCUUUUUUCUUCUCUUUUCCAAUGAUAUGAGCUUGAGACCACCACCCAUCCUCUGGAUUGGAAUCAAAUGCUUUGGAGAGUCCACUAGACAAGCUACUGGAGGAGUUAGUGUGGGCAAUAAUUGUAGAUCCAUCAGUAACCCCUGAUACACCAUCGUCAUCAAUUAGAGGCUCUCAAUCUUCUACCCUCCUGACAGACUGCAGGAGAAUGGUCCAUGAUUUCUAUUUGGUGGCAUUAUGAGGAUUAUGCACUUGCUUUAUUUCAGCAAUUUUCAAUCAGUCUCAUUCUACAAAGCAGUGGACUCCACUUCCUUGCUGUUUGAUGAGGAAUCCAUCAAUCAAUGUGCCUACGAAAGAGAACCUACAAGUGUCCAUCUUUGGUGUCAUAAGAAUCAUUUUUCCACCCAUGUGACAUCCAUUCUGUAAAGAAGUAAAACCAAGAAGAUGCGUGUUGACGUUGGGUUCCAAGAACAACCCUAGAUUAUGAUACUAAGGAAAGCCAAUGGAAAAGAAAUGUCAGCUAGAAUGGUUAGGUUAAGGUAGAAGAUGAAUGGAGCUGUUAGCUGUCUAUGAAGUGGGCCCCACCUUUGAUUGAUUUGCCAAUCCUCUUUUUUUGGAGGGUCCAUAUAUAGAUCAUAAAGCUAGCUUCAUAAUGGAUCAAGUCCAAGCUAUGUUGUGAGUCCUUAUUGCUCACAAAUUAGAAUCUUAUUUGGGUUUACUUAAUAUGAUUAUUGAUCAAGCAGCUUUCAUGGGAUCUCAAGGAGAAUAAUAUCUUAUUACCCUAACAAACUAUUUUCAGAACUUGUUGAAACUUUGCGUAGGAGCAAAUUUCAAGUUGCCUUGUAAAAUGGCAUGUUUGCGGCAUUUUUCCUUGUAUCAUACUUGCCAUAGCACUAAUGUAUCCAAUGACUACAUUUCUUCUUGUACUAUUGUGAACUUAGAGUGAAAACGUUAGGGAGAGAAGGAAAGGGAUCAUUAAAUUACAUAUGAAGCUCCUUCAUUUAUGUACAUCUUUGUCACAUCCCUCCUCUCCUUCAUAUCUUCCAUCCAAGUACAAACCCUAAAUGAAUUAUUAUCACUACUUAUGACAGUUGGCCAUAGAAUAAUCAAAUAAUGUUCCUAAUUUGCUUGUCUGGAAAAGUUGUUUAAUCUUGUACUCACAUAUACUGUCUUCAUUAUCAAGUCUUAUUUCUCCUUAUCUUAUUACAAAUUAUUUGAUUCUUUAAAAUUACUGAUUAAGAUGGAUAACAUUCAUGAAUGAAAAAUGCACCGAGGGGUAUUAUUUUUGGAAGUAGUGCUUGGUUUCACAGAGCCAAAAAAUUAACAAGAAAGACUAAUUUUUAUACUAAAAGCUUUUUGUUUUAUAGUAUAUAUAUUGUAGCAUGUGUUUGCACAAUGAAGUAAUGAACCAUUUAUGCUUAUUUUGUUUUCACUUCAGCUGUUAACCUUUUAAAUUAGCUCACUGAGAAUUGGAUUCGUACAAUUUAUUUACCAAUAGCUUGAGAAAAGUUCAUAUGCACUUGGCUCCAAGAAACCUAAACAUAGAUCUCAUACAUCUAGUUUAUGAAAUUUUACAUGUUAAAUCUAUGAGAAAAGUCCCAUAGGAGUGAAGAGUUUUCCUUAGGGAUCUUUGAGAUGUUAAUCUAGAGAUAGUUAAAUUUUCCUAUAAUUAAGGGUAAAAUAAACAAUUGAUGCCCCACUGCCACUUUGAAGGUUGUACCAUGGUGCUGAUGACAUGAUUUACACGCAAGGUCAAGAUGCUAAUUCUAUCUAAUGAUGAAGUCUCUUUCAUGCUUUCAUUGUCCAAAAUAAAAGAUUGAAGUUAACAAGAGGACAAAGGCCACUUUUCGAUAUAUUGGCAAUGAUAGCCGUACAAAACAUUACUGGAUGUAGCUGUCACUCUAAACCUAUGCUUAGUUUAAUCAACCCAUGAAACAUUGGAGCAAGAAUACUAUUGAGAAAUCAAAUAUCCUGGUAGAACAAACUUAUAUUAUGCUGAUGAGUAAUUUCAUAGAUUCUGGUUCAAUGGUUGCCAAAGUUUGUCGGAGUUGUAAACAUCAGCAAGGGGCCCAAGGACACUGUAGACUGUAGUUGAAGUGUAUUGGUCAGUGCCCAAUCUACUUUUUCCAAGCAAGCGAAUUCAAAACAACCAUCCAGUAUGUACUCAUCCUUCUCAUCUUCCUUUUCUUCUCACUUAAUUGAUUCCAGGGAGAAUACAAUCCAGUCCCCCAAAAGUUCCAGAGGUGCUUGGCACAGUGGACUAAGAAACUGCCAAAUGAGACGCUGGCUACAAUUACUGCUAACUUAUUAGUAUAUCAGCAACACUCCUUAAGGAUCCAGAUCAGCCUAUAUUGCCCAUCCGCAGCAGCCUAUUUGCUAGGGUAAGCAAUGCUCACAUUAUGUUUUAGCAGCUUUAUACUUUGGUCAUGCUCAGGAGCAAUGAUUACUCUAUCAAAGUAUAGGUUGUGUAUUAUCUUCAUAUGAAGUUUCUGUACUACUGUAGUGUACUUGAAUCAUAACAUAGAUUAGGAGAAUGGGAAUGCCACACACAUGAAGAACAAGUUACAUGUCCUUCAUAUGAAGUAUCUUCAUAUGCAGUUUUUGCCCUCGUUAGUGCAAAUACUUCUCUAUUAUUAAUAAAAUGCCACCCACAUGAAGAACUAAAGCUAAAAUAUUAAUCAUCUACCCAUUUUCCUUCUUACAUCAUUACACAGAACUUUUUUUAAUGUCUAUUUAAAUGCAUUACCUAAACACUGAACUAAAUCAUUGCAUUGAGUUGACAGUAGAUUCUUACUAAGGUACAGCAUUGCAUAUGCAAUUACAACAUGCUGGACUCAGGAAGAGCUUUGGAUGCUGUCUUAAAAUUAAGCUAGAUCUUCCAUGUAGCGAUAAAAGGUUAUGUUAAUUUAGGAUACUAUAUAUUUCAGGAUUAAUGCUUAUUUUAAGUAUAUACGAAUAUGGAAGUUCCUCUGCAUGAUUUUCUUCUUUUCUUUACUUUGGUAUACUUUUCCUUUGUAUAUUAUAUCUUUCGCAAAAGUUGAUUCAUUCAAGUAGAAGCUAGCAGUAUGGCAUGUUUGUUUACAAACUGAGUGUGGAACAAGAUGGAGAUGAGGGAAAAGGAGAGUGAACUAUAGCUGGGGAAGCUAUAUGGAAUCCAUGAAGAGAUCUGUGGUUUACUGCGGAAAGGCGGGGAAAGGAUGCCACCAUCUUUUCAUGGAGGGAGUACAUUGAGCUUUUAGAGGCCAAGAUUGUGACUACCAAAAGCCUUCACGUGACCAUUUUGGAUUCUUUCUCAGUGGAGAAGUUAGAAUUGGCAGUACUGCUUUCAUGCAGCAUUGACCAAUCCAACUUGACCUCAUCUCUUUUAUAUAUAUAACAUGUAUUAAAAAUUAAUAAAGAAAUAUAUCUCGCCUCUUUUGUUACAGUUCGAUUUCCAGUUCUGCCCCUACCACAGAAGAGCAUCACCAUGCAUAGCUGUCUUAAAUCCAAUAAUGGUUAGCCAAUUGCUUGAGAUUCUGGUCUAUGAGUUUCAAUAAUCAAGUUGACUCGACUAAAUGAACUUUAAAAUACUCGGAAAAUUUUCAAAAUCUAAGUUUAUUGGUUUCCGCUUGAUCAAUGGUUUCUUUUGGUUGGAUUUUGGUUGAAUUGAUUUGUUUGAAAAAUGGUCACUACUUGAUCUUGAAAGAAUAAUGUCUUAGACAAUAAGUAAAUCCAUAUAUAGGCGACAAAGUUGUAAGAUUAAAUAAUUGUUGUAGUUUGUCAUUCCUCUCCUAUCACUAUUUGUUCUACUGUGUCAGCGUCCGAAAGGCUCAUCUGCCUUAAUUACAACAGUAGGCCAUGCAUGCCUGAAAACUACAUCAAACUGUUUAUGCUGUACCCACACAUAUUGUUUUGCUUCCGAUUUCCAUAAUAUUAAAAAUGGAGAUAUUUAUAUUGUGCUAGACUAUUUGCUUUCUGUUAUUUUCUCAAAAAAUACACGCUUGUAACAAACUUGGGAGGUGUAGAACUACUAUCUGGUUGGUGCAACAAGUAGAAAACCUGGCGAAGGAUUGAGACAAUGGACUUUUUUUAACGCAGUUACCACUGAAAUUAAGGUGGGGUUUCGGAAUCAAGAAACCCCGACUUUAUUCUUUCACUAUUGACAAGACAACCCCUGUCUUCUCACUAUUAACAAGACAACCCCUGUCUACCUGAAACAAAUGCAUGUAUAGGCAUACUAAUUAAGGCCAAUCUACAAAUCCAUAACAUAUGUACGGCCUUAGGAAGCAGCAGAUUAACAUACUGUUCUCAACAGAUGAUUCUAGGUGGCAUUUAUAGUUAAAUAUAUGUUCAAUAACUUCCUUUUUCUCUUUAGUAAAAAAAAAGAGAAUGGGUAAGUGGUCGACCUGUGAUUUUCCCAGACUCUUCUGCCAUUCCUCCCUCCAUACACAUCCACCGAACUCCUCGCAAUUCGAACCAUGCAGUUUUCCUUCUUCAAGGAAAAAAAGAAUUUAAGUAGUGCUUUAAUUAUAGGCAUGGGACAAAAGAACAAUAUAUAAGAAAAUAAUAAAUCCAUAUUUCUGAUCUCUGCUUCUUGAAUCACAAGUUAUCCCUACGCGGAAGCCAUACUUCUUGUUAUCCGGCAUGCUUUUCUCCUGUCGCACAAACAUUCAUUAUUAUUUGUCUAUUUGCAUGGUUAUUCUAUGCUUUACCGUUUUAUGACAUUGUUUGGGUCGUUUUAUCCCUUCACAACAUUUUCUACUGUAAACAGUUCGUAUAGCUACUGUAAACAGUUCGUAUAGUUAUUUUUAUUACUAAACACAUGUUUACUUGGAGUUGUUUGGUCGGCUAUUAGUUUAAUUGGGUCACAUUUUAGAGUAAGGAAAAGUGAUCAUGGAGAUUUUGAGAUCUUUUUCUAUGCUAUAUUGUCAAGUGACCACUUAAGGUUGAUCAUAAAUUACUUUCAUGAAAGGUCGAUGAUGAUGUAACAUAUUAUAUUGACUUUUAAGCAUAUUAAUUAUGCCGAUUCUACUGAAAUGGUGGGAUAUCAAGUUUUGAGAUAGCGCUACAGUUGACUAGAUGAUAUCAAUGCAUGCACAAACAUGUGGUCAAGCUAUUAAAAAUGUAAAGUUUUACUUUUUAAUUCAUAACUUGUUUUAUCAAAUAGCAUGAUAUUCAAAUUAACAUAGCUGUUUUCAAAACACUUAGACGUAUUAAGUUAUAAUUACAGAAUAUGAAGACGAGUUGUGAAAAGUUUAAAUUUUAUUAUUAUUGUUUAUUGUUUUCUUGAGUCCAUCACGUUGCUUCACCAUUUAAAUGAAUUAAUAGUAAACAGUAAGUAGCAUGUAUGAAGGAUGUGUUUCUUACAAUGAAAUGGAAGAAGGGACCUAAAGGGGAAUCACCAUAUUCUUCAUUAGUUGAAUAUCUCAGUUCUAAGAAGACCCAUCGACAUAACCUUCUUGUCCAAUCAUUUUUUUUUUUUUCGAGAAAUAAUGCUGCGUUAGAUCUAUAUGUGAGUACAUGUUCAUUAUCAUGGACAAAGCAAUGGGGUGAAAGGUAACUUUAUAUAUGUGUGUGUGCCGUGGGCAUUCUUUCACCCUCUCUUUGGGAUUGUACCACCAAUCUUUUUCAUUUUUAAAGAAAGGCAGGGAAUGAUGGGAAUUAAGACUUUGGUGAUGAUGGAGAGGGUCAAAACAGAGAAGGUAAAGGACCUGUCACUGCUUCCCUGACCCUGUUAAUUUGCUUUCCAUGUCAGUGGAAAAGAAGAGACAAGGAGGGGGAGAAAGAAGGGGCAAAGUAACUUAAUAAAUAAAGUUGAUGAGGGAUGAAGAUACCUUUAAAAUCACUCUUUGGUCAUCAUGCAAUAUCUCGGGGACAAGGGAGGGUACUAUUCCAUUUCCAAUGGCGCAGAGGUAUCUUUUAUUAUUUACUUCACUCGCUCUUGCUUUUCCAUGUUCCAUUUACCCACACCAUUAACAUCCUUUUUCCUCAUUGGCUAAGAGAACAGGGACAUGGGCCCACCUUCGGGUCCUCUGUUCCUGUUUAAAGUUUGGGCAUUCAGUUCAUUCUUAUAUAUAUAUAUAUAUAUAAUGGUAAAAAUAGGAUUGGUUCUAGUUAUCGUUCAUCAAGCAUUUGUACUAAAGCUGGAUUUGUUGUGAAAUAUAGUGCACAAUUGAAUUGCUCAGUUGAACACUAUGGGUCUUCCCUCUAUUCAACAAGUGAUUUGAUAUAUGUUAUUCGACAAUUCAGCUGUCGAAGAAGGUAAACUUAAUAAGCUAGAUAAAAACUUGUUCUUUUUUCCUUUUUUGUGUAAUUUGCUUUUUCUGUUCUUGAAUUGUGUUGAGUAAUAGUUUCAUAUAACCGAAGAUUUUUGUGGGAAGUGAAAUAAAUAAAUCCAUACAUAUGGAACAUAAUAUCCUAAGUUAAUAGAUAAGAUUUAGUAUCCCUAAUUUGGUGGUGAUGUUAUUAGGGGCGGUAUACUUGAAUUACUAAAAAUUACAUUGUAUACUGUAUACCGUACCAAAAUGCUCGGUAUACAACAAAAUCAUACUGAUAUUGUACUGAAUUUUCGAUAUAUCGAAAUUUCGGUAUGGUUAAAUUUCAUACCAUUUAGGGUGAAAUUUCAGUAUCAGUACGGUAUAUUGAAAAUUUCAAGAUAAAUGCUAUACCGGUAUUGAUACCAAAAAUUUUGAUACGGUAUUAUAUCGUACCAAAAUUUUUGAUAUACCAUAAAAUUAGUAUGGUUCGAUAUAUUUUGGUACGGUAUGUGUGAUAUACUAAAAAUUUUGAUAUUUUUGUCACCCCUUGAU